rnacentral:rRNA from 1 species
GUGGAUUAGUGGCGAACGGGUGAGAAGGGUGAGUAACCUGCCCUUAACUCUGGGAUAAGCCUGGGAAACUGGGUCUAAUACCGGAUAGGAGCGUCCACCGCAUGGUGGGUGUUGGAAAGAUUUAUCGGUUUUGGAUGGACUCGCGGCCUAUCAGCUUGUUGGUGAGGUAAUGGCUCACCAAGGCGACGACGGGUAGCCGGCCUGAGAGGGUGACCGGCCACACUGGGACUGAGACACGGCCCAGACUCCUACGGGAGGCAGCAGUGGGGAAUAUUGCACAAUGGGCGCAAGCCUGAUGCAGCGACGCCGCGUGAGGGAUGACGGCCUUCGGGUUGUAAACCUCUUUCAGUAGGGAAGAAGCGAAAGUGACGGUACCUGCAGAAGAAGCACCGGCUAACUACGUGCCAGCAGCCGCGGUAAUACGUAGGGUGCGAGCGUUAUCCGGAAUUAUUGGGCGUAAAGAGCUCGUAGGCGGUUUGUCGCGUCUGUCGUGAAAGUCCGGGGCUUAACCCCGGAUCUGCGGUGGGUACGGGCAGACUAGAGUGCAGUAGGGGAGACUGGAAUUCCUGGUGUAGCGGUGGAAUGCGCAGAUAUCAGGAGGAACACCGAUGGCGAAGGCAGGUCUCUGGGCUGUAACUGACGCUGAGGAGCGAAAGCAUGGGGAGCGAACAGGAUUAGAUACCCUGGUAGUCCAUGCCGUAAACGUUGGGCACUAGGUGUGGGGACCAUUCCACGGUUUCCGCGCCGCAGCUAACGCAUUAAGUGCCCCGCCCUGGGGAGUACGGCCGCAAGGCUAAAACUCAAAGGAAUUGACGGGGGGCCCGCACAAGCGGCGGAGCAUGCGGAUUAAUUCGAUGCAACGCGAAGAACCUUACCAAGGCUUGACAUGUUCUCGAUCGCCGUAAGA